ACCUCAUGUUCCUCUUCUCCCAAACCGCCUCCCACGCAUGUCUCUCCCUCGCCGGUUCCAUUUGGAGCCUCAUCACCCUAUUUCCCUCUCCCUCACGCGCGCCCACACCUCUACUGCCGAGCCGCCCUUGCUCCUGCGCCCAUCUGGUGGACGCCCGCCCGCCAUAGCACAUCGUGCCCAUCAUUUCUACGGAGGAGCCCUGUUCGCGCCGAAUUGCUAGUUCGGCGCUCGCCGUCAAACUCCGUCGUGGAGGGGGAGCCGCUGACGAAGACGACAAGCCUGGGACCACCCCGCCGUCGCUGAUAUCCCGAGCCUGAGCGCCGUCGCGUGGCCUACGUACCGAGCGCGAGUGGGAGCGCCGGCGCUGAGAAGAAGACGAAGAAAUGACGGCGGCUGUGUGCAUUCGCUGGAGCUGUGAAAAGGAGGCAUCGUCGUCGUCCCAUUCACCCUUCUCUUCUUGGCUGUGUACAGGAGUCAUCAUCGAAUUUUUUUUGAAACCUUCAAGCUUCGACGCCCGACCCUUUGCAUUUGUGGUAUAGUGAAUAUUGAACUAUCGGGGAGAAUGCAGAAACAAUUUACAGAUGAUAGGUACUACAUAUGACAGAUGAGGCAACUGGCCAUGGUGUAUAUGCUGCUUCGACCUGUGCAGUUUAUGGAUGAAGAUGAAGCUGACCUGCAGAUGCUGUGUAUCCAAAUUGAACGGAUUGUUCUGAUAAAUAUAGUGUGAAAAGAUAAAUUAUAAUAUUUGUUCUUGUGCGUCAUCGCAACGUAUUUUGGUGGGGUAAUAUGAACUUUGAUCUAUUUUUCCAAUUAUAUUCUAGGCUCUAACCAACUGAUCCAAAAUGUCACAUUGAUUGAUACAUGGAUUUUGAUACUUCUGAAUGGAGAUACAUGUUGUG